GCCGGAAAGCUCUCCAAACUCGGUCAUUUAGAGGAAGUAAAAGUCGUAACAAGGUCUCCGUUGGUGAACCAGCGGAGGGAUCAUUACCGAGUUUACAACUCCCAAACCCAAUGUGAACCAUACCAAACUGUUGCCUCGGCGGGGUCACGCCCCGGGUGCGUCGCAGCCCCGGAACCAGGCGCCCGCCGGAGGGACCAACCAAACUCUUUCUGUAGUCCCCUCGCGGACGUUAUUUCUUACAGCUCUGAGCAAAAAUUCAAAAUGAAUCAAAACUUUCAACAACGGAUCUCUUGGUUCUGGCAUCGAUGAAGAACGCAGCGAAAUGCGAUAAGUAAUGUGAAUUGCAGAAUUCAGUGAAUCAUCGAAUCUUUGAACGCACAUUGCGCCCGCCAGUAUUCUGGCGGGCAUGCCUGUCCGAGCGUCAUUUCAACCCUCGAACCCCUCCGGGGGGUCGGCGUUGGGGAUCGGGAACCCCUAAGACGGGAUCCCGGCCCCGAAAUACAGUGGCGGUCUCGCCGCAGCCUCUCAUGCGCAGUAGUUUGCACAACUCGCACCGGGAGCGCGGCGCGUCCACGUCCGUAAAACACCCAACUUCUGAAAUGUUGACCUCGGAUCAGGUAGGAAUACCCGCUGAACUUAAGCAUAUCAAUAAGCGGAGGAAAAGAAACCAACAGGGAUUGCCCCAGUAACGGCGAGUGAAGCGGCAACAGCUCAAAUUUGAAAUCUGGCCCCUAGGGUCCGAGUUGUAAUUUGUAGAGGAUGCUUUUGGUGAGGUGCCGCCCGAGUUCCCUGGAACGGGACGCC
rnacentral:rRNA from 1 species